UCAGAUUGAACGCUGGCGGAAUGCUUACACAUGCAAGUCGAACGGUAGAGGGGGCAACCCUUGAGAGUGGCGAACGGGUGAGUAAUAUAUCGGGACGUGCCCAGUCGUGGGGGAUAACGUAGCGAAAGCUACGCUAAUACCGCAUACGAUCUACGGAUGAAAGCGGGGGAUCGCAAGACCUCGCGCGAUUGGAGCGGCCGAUAUCAGAUUAGGUAGUUGGUGAGGUAAAGGCUCACCAAGCCGACGAUCUGUAGCUGGUCUGAGAGGACGACCAGCCACACUGGGACUGAGACACGGCCCAGACUCCUACGGGAGGCAGCAGUGGGGAAUUUUGGACAAUGGGCGCAAGCCUGAUCCAGCAAUGCCGCGUGCAGGAUGAAGGCCUUCGGGUUGUAAACUGCUUUUGUACGGAACGAAACGGUGAGCUCUAAUACAGUUUGCUAAUGACGGUACCGUAAGAAUAAGCACCGGCUAACUACGUG
rnacentral:rRNA from 1 species